rnacentral:rRNA from 1 species
GCAAACUGCUCAUUAACACAUGAUCAACUUACCCUAUAGAGAAAAAUAACCUCGGGAAACUGAGGAUAAUAUUUCGUAGUUGAAUAGGCUUGGAAAAGUUUUUCAAUAAAAGGGAUAAAAAAAAUGGUUUUUAUCUGCUAUAGGAUAGGAUCGUGGACGAUUAUGGUUGUUGGUGAGGUAACGGCUCACCAAGCCGAUAAUCGAUAGGGGCCGUGAGAGCGGGAGCCCCGAGAUGGGUACUGAGACAACGACCCAGGCCUUACGAGGCGCAGCAGGCGCGGAACCUCCGCAAUACACGAAAGUGUGACGGGGUUACCCAAAGUGUUCAAUUCUGAACUGUGGUAGGUGAGUAAUGUUCCCUACUAGAAAGGAGAGGGCAAGGCUGGUGCCAGCCGCCGCGGUAAAACCAGCUCUUCAAGUGGUCGGGAUAAUUAUUGGGCUUAAAGUGUCCGUAGCCGGUUUGGUAAGUUCCUGGUAAAAUCGGGUAGCUUAACUAUCCGUAUGCUAGGAAUACUGCUAUACUAGAGGGCGGGAGAGGUCUGAGGUACUACAGGGGUAGGGGUGAAAUCUUAUAAUCCUUGUAGGACCACCAGUGGCGAAGGCGUCAGACUGGAACGCGCCUGACGGUGAGGGACGAAAGCCAGGGGAGCGAACCGGAUUAGAUACCCGGGUAGUCCUGGCCGUAAACGAUGCAUACUAGGUGAUGGUACGGCCAUGAGCCGUAUCAGUGCCGUAGGGAAACCGUUAAGUGUGCCGCCUGGGAAGUACGGUCGCAAGGCUAAAACUUAA